GUGUUAGAGCAGAGAACUACUGGAAACGAAAAACAGAAGUACAGAGACUUGCCCUAUUGGAAAGUGUCCCAUUCUAGAGCUGAGAAGAGAAAGCAGGACAGGGAAUCACCUGCUAGUGUCGCGUCAGAUGUCUACAUGUCCACAAGUUGUUUAAGAAAAAUUAAGGUAAGAGGUAAUGAAAAGAAAUAAGAUAAAUAGACUCUAAGGUAUUUGGAGAUGCAAGGAGUACAGCGUGACUUUUCCUAGUAGAUACGACUGUUGCACACAAAAGGCAAGAAGUCACCGAGUUCAAAACCAGACGGCCUACUGUCUUCUGUGUUUCUGAGAAUAAAUUUAAGAGGACUACAACAGUUUGCUGCAACAGUUCUUCUCCAUGGUGGAUGGUUAUUCUCCAGACCUGAAAACGGUGUUUGGCAAGGAAGGCGGCAUUGAAGGACAAAAGAUUAAGAGCAUCAUGGUUCCCAUAACCCAGACUAACUCCAUUGAUGUCAGAAGAGUACAUCCUUUAAGCCCAGUGUGUGUUCCUCAAUGAAGAUCCUGGCAACCUUGUGAAAGAAUGGAUGGUAAGAAUGUUUUUUUUUUUUUUUUUUUUUUCAUUUAAAUUUAAUAUUUCAAAGUGAUUUAUAUGCUUUAAAAGUUGAAGUGUUAUAUAACAUCAUCCGCUUUUUUAAUUUUACAUUUCAGAUCGUGGACGCUUUGAAGAAGCCAUGAUAGAGACAAUUCUUGAAGUUUUUGUCAUUCACAAAGAUGCAAAGGCAGAUGAUGACCCUGAAGAUGUAGUCAUCGUUUCAAGUCCUGGAUGAGUUUGGUAGUAUCCCACUUGCUGUGUUGUUGUUUGAUCUUGUAUAUGCUCUCAACCUCAGCUACCUUCCACUAAAGGUUGUUUGAAAUAUUGGCC
rnacentral:lncRNA from 1 species